UAGGUUAUUUAAUUUAAGUAUCGUUUUUUGCCAUGAUGUUUAAUCACGUUAUUUUCUUGUAGAUAUUCUGUGAAUUUGUGUUUUGUAAAUCAUAUUCAUGUAGAAUUGGAUAAUAUGGAAAUUACAAUGGUCUGAUCUGGUGGUUUGUGUUGUAAAAAUUAUAAAUACUGUGAUGGAAUAUUUGAAAUGUAAUGUAUGUAAUAAUGAACCUGGUGAAAAAAGAAAAUUCAUGAACAGAAGCACAUAUAAAGUUAUUACAGGUAUAAUUGCUCAAUUUUUUUCUGUAGAAAAUAAAGUUGAGAUAAAGAUCCGAGGUAAUAUCAUGUAGAUUUGUUCAAUUGCCAUUAAUAAAUUAAUAAAUUUGUAAUAAUUUUUAAUGAAAUAACAAUACUCAUUUCAUUAGAAUCCUGCAUUGUGUUUUCUUGUGAAAAUGGUGAAGAAAGGUUUAACUCUAGUAGUCUUCUUAAAUGUGAAAAAAUUCAUCCACACUGUCAUUGCACACACUGUCAACGUACACAGGCAGCCUUAAGAUGUUAUGCAAAAGCACAACCAUUAAGUUUAAAGCUAUUCUAUUCUAUCAUCUUUAAACGUAAUGAAACAAAGCAAGAAAUUUGGUUACCAGAUAUAAAAAGUUUUGGUCCAUCAGUACAAUGUGCAUCUAAAAAUAUAGUAAAAUAUUAAGCUUGGAUUAAACAUCCAUCAGACUAAUUUAAAGUUGUGAAUACUAAUUUAGAUAAAAAUGAUCAAAAGAACAUUAAUAUUAACGUAUCACAUAUCACAGGAUGAUAAGAUAAAAAGAUAAAGUAGUAAGCAUUGAUCUCGAUAAUCUAACUAUGGAUGAUGCAGAUACAGAUGUUUCGAAAUGCUUUAACAGUUAAAAGUUUCAAUGGAAAUAGAUUAUAUUUGGAUUCAAUUUAGAAUCUAUAAUUUUACCACACAGUAUCAUUGAAAAUUUUGAAGUUGGAUGUGAUCGUUCCUUAUUAGAGAGUAAUAUGAUAUCUAUUUAUAUUUU